CUCUGGACUUAAUGGUUUGAGUGGUAAGAUUACAAAUCUGGAGGCCAGGGUUCAAUUCCCAGUUCAGCCA